rnacentral:rRNA from 1 species
GUUAAAUGAAAGCUGAGGCUUUGGUUUAGGUCCCUCGGGCUUGCAGAAUUUUUACAUGUAGUCAGUAAAUUAGGUUUAGUGAAUCUAAGGUAAAGGUAAAAAUUUGUGCCAGCACCUGCGGUUAGACUUUAUUUGUGACCAAAGUUACACAGGUUUAUUAUUUAAAGUUAGUGGUUUAUAAUAGGGUGGAAUAAAAAAUAAGAUAAACACAGUUUUGGAUUAGAUUAAGUAAGACCAGGAUUAGAUACCCUGUUAUUUAAGGAUACUAAGGAUUAAUGAUACAAAUUAUAUGGUUUGGCGGCUAUUUAGUGUUUAGGGGAGUUUGCUUUUAAACGAGAAGACUCGUUUUUAUUUAGUUUAGUUAUGUACACCAUCAUUUAUUUAGUUUAGUUAGGGUUGACUAGGUAAAUUAGAUUAAUAUGCUAGAUCAAGGUGCAGAGUGGUUAAAUUAAGUUAGCUACAAUAUACAUUAAUACAUGGAACAGCCUAAAUGGGGUCUAAAAAGUGGAUUUAAUAGUAAUUAACACAGAUUUGAUAACCUAUAAAUAGCGCACAAAUUGCCCGUCAAUCUCAUGGAGAUAAGUCGAAACAAAGUAGAAAAACCGGAAGGUUUUUCUA